CCUACGGGUGGCAGCAGUGGGGAAUCUUGCGCAAUGGGCGAAAGCCUGACGCAGCGACGCCGCGUGAAGGAAGAAGGGUUUCGGCUCGUAAACUUCUAUCAACAGGGACGAAAGAAAUGACGGUACCUGAAUAAGAAGCCCCGGCUAACUACGUGCCAGCAGCCGCGGUAAUACGUAGGGGGCAAGCGUUAUCCGGAAGUACUGGGUGUAAAGGGUGAGUAGGCGGCAUGUUAAGCCAGAUGUGAAAGCCUUGGGCUUAACCCGAGGAUUGCAUUUGGAACUAGCAAGCUAGAGUUCAGGAGAGGAAAGCGGAAGUCCUAGUGUAGCGGUGAAAUGCGGAGAUAUUAGGAAGAACACCAGUGGCGAAGGCGGCUUUCUGGACUGAAACUGACGCGGAGGCACGAAAGCGUGGGGAGCGAACAGGAUUAGAUACCCGGGUAGUC
rnacentral:rRNA from 1 species